rnacentral:rRNA from 1 species
GACGUAGGGGGCCAGCGUUGCUCGGAAUUACUGGGCGUAAAGCGUGCGCAGGCGGUUUUGCAAGCCGGAUGUGAAAUCCCCGGGCUCAACCUGGGAAUGGCAUUCGGGACUGCAAGGCUGGAGUGCGGCAGAGGAGACUGGAAUUCCUGGUGUAGCAGUGAAAUGCGUAGAUAUCAGGAGGAAUACCGAUGGCGAAGGCAGGUCUCUGGGCUGACACUGACGCUCAUGCACGAAAGCGUGGGGAGCAAACAGG